AAACAUCUUUUCUUGGUUUUAAUUUGAGAUUUGACCUGCCCAAUGAUUAUAUUUAAUGGCCGCGGUAUUUUGACCGUGCAAAGGUAGCAUAAUCAUUAGUCUAUUAAUUGUAGGCUUGUAUGAAUGGUUGGACGAGAUAUUUACUGUCUCACUUAUAUUAUUUUGAAUUUAAAUUUUUAGUUAAAAUGCUUAAAUUUUAUUAUUGGACGAGAAGACCCUAUAGAUCUUUAUUUUAUAUAUUUAUUAUUAUUUUAGUUAUUUUUAUUUAUUUUAUGUUAUAUAAUUUUUUGUUGGGGUGACAUGGAGAUAUAAUUAACUCUUUAUUUUUUUAAUCAAAUAUUUUUGUUUAUUUGACCUUUUAUUAUUGUUAUAAGAUUUAGAUACCUUAGGGAUAACAGCGUUAUUUUUUUUGAGAGUUCAUAUCGACAUAAAAGAUUGCGACCUCGAUGUUGGAUUAAGAUUACAUUAAAUUUGGUGUAGUAGCUUAUAAUGGUAGGUCUGUUCGACCUUUAAAUUCUUACAUGAUCUGA
rnacentral:rRNA from 1 species